rnacentral:rRNA from 1 species
UACGGAGGGUGCAAGCGUUACUCGGAUUUACUGGGCGUAAAGCGCACGUAGGCGGUUUGGUAAGUCUGAUGUGAAAGUCCGAGGCUCAACCUCGAAAGUGCAUUGGAUACUGCCAGACUAGAGUGCAGGAGGGGUGAGCGGAAUUCCUGGUGUAGAGGUGAAAUUCGUAGAUAUCAGGAGGAACAACGGAGGCGAAGGCGGCUCACUGGACUGUAACUGACGCUGAGGUGCGAAAGUGUGGGGAGCGAACGGG